rnacentral:pre_miRNA from 1 species
UUUGAUAUUGACUCUUCGUUUUAUUUGAAAUUUUUUACGAUUAAUAUUUUUUUCUUACUAGAUGAUAAACCAUAAAUAGUACUUUAUGCGUGACUAAUUUUUUAAGUUUUUAUAUAAAUUUUUUAAAUAAGAUGAAUGGCCAAACGUUGGACACGGAAA